GGUUUUUGGCCAAUCUGUUAGGAGGAUAACUCGGUUUGAAAUGCUGAUGAAGGACGUGGCAAGCUGCGAAAAGUCUUGGCUAGGUGCAUGCAGCCAUUGAACCAAGAAUUUCUUAAUCAGACUUCUGAUCUCUUCGGAGAUGGUUGGUAACAAUCGGGAACGCAGGGAACUGAAGCGUCUUAGUACCUGCAGGAAAAGAAAUCAAUUGAGAUGUUGUUAGUAUCAGCGAGAAAAAACAGCGUAAAGCAAACUGAAUCUAGUAUAGAAAUAUAUUAGAGAUGUGGUGUUUAGAACUGCUUUUAAUCUUAACUAAAUAACUCAAAGUUUCUUGGAAUAGAAUGCCUUAGUGGGUGAUAGCCCCUUAGAGGAACUUUAGAAAGAUUUUGUAGUUUCUUGAGUAGUGCCUAUCGGAAAUUAGGUAUGAAUAUGGGAGACAUUAACUUCCAACUUUAAAUACAUUUCAAGACCGAUAGUAAACUUAGUACUGUGAAGGAAAGGUGAAAAGAACCUAUAACAGGGAAUUAAAAGACUUGAAACCUAACAGAUAUAGUGAGCUACGGCUCUUAGGAGUUGUAGCGUACGUUUCGAAUAACGGGCCAGGGAGUGUAUCUUAGUGGCGAGAAUAAAUGCUUAAUGCAUGCAUUCAUAAGGAAACUAAAUUUCUGCAGUUUACGAGAGAAUGGGUAUGAAAAUGCCUAAGUCACUAGGGUACGACCUGAAACCAGACGAUCUAACCCAGGGUAUGAUGAAGCGGGGGUUAACCUCGUGGAGGUCAGAAGAGGUGCUGCGUGCAUGUGUUCUUCUAACUUUGGGUUAGGGGUGAAAAGCCAAUCGAGUCUGGUGAUAGCUGGUUCCUGCCGAAAUAGGCUUUAGUCUAGUGGUACACGAGAUAGUAAAGAAGGUAGAGCUACGGAUUGAGGAUUUAGGGAGAGAAAUCUCUCGGUUCUCUGUUCAACUCCAAAUUUCUUUACAUUGUAGACUGUACUAAACGGGGUAUCUGGGGUAAACUUGAUAUCCGUAAGGGGAACAACCCAGCCUAUGGUUAAGGUCCCAAAAUACCAAUUAAGUGUUAACGGGCGAAAGGUGUGCAUAACCACAGACAGAAGGGAGGUUUGCUUAGAAGCAGCAAUCCUUUAAAGAAAGCGUAACAGCUCACCUUUCUAGGUUAUGUGCCCUGAAAAUUUACGGGACUAAAUUGGUUACCGAUACCAUAGACUACUGAAUAAGUAGGGGUAGGCAGGCUUUCUGAAAGGGUAGAAGCUAAUUCGUAAGAAAAAGUGGACCUUUUAGAAAUGAGAAUCCUGGUGGUAGUAAGAUCAAAGUAGCGUGAGAAUCGCUAUUGCCGUAGGGGCCAGGGUUUCUCAGCAAUAUAGUUUAGCUGAGAGUAAGUCGAUCUUGAUCUGAUUGGUAACGUAUGUCAGAGAAAAGGAAAGCAGUUAAAAUUCUGCUACUAAGUAAUUACAUGUGGCAACACAAGCUUAACUUCUGACAUUUAUGGCUAGAUUGACAUCUACAAUCGUGGAUGCUAAUAAGAAUAAAUCAAGGGAGAAUCGUCAAGGUGAGAACUUGUUUAAAUCUUAAAAUGAUUAAUCUUAAGGUUAAUUCAAUUAAUGCCAUGAGUUGAUAAAAAGGGAGUUAAGAUGGAUAUUACUUAACCGUACCUAGAACCAACACUGGUGCCCCUAGGUGAGUAGCCUAAGGUAUGAGGGCGUAAUCCGGCUAAGGGAAAUCGGCAAAUUAGCUCUGUGACUUCGGUAUAAGGAGUCCCUGCUCUCGUGCUCUUAUGAGUGGCGAGUACAGGGUGCAAUAACAAAGGCGGUCCGACUGUUUAACAAAAACGCAACUAUCUGCUAGUCCGUAAGGAUGUGUAUAGGUGGUGACGUCUGCCCAGUGCCAGUAUCUAAAACUUCCUUUCAAGGGAGCUAAGGACUGGUAAACGGCGGGAAUAACUAUAAUUCUCUUAAGGUGAAUUUCGUCGCUUUAAGACCCAAAGUUAGACAGGAUAACAAAGAAGAUUGGGAUAAAAAUCUGGCUAAAUGCUGGAAAAUCCGAGAAUCUCGCAUUACCGAAAGUAUUUUAAGGUUUAAAUAUACCUUAAUUUUAAAGGUGAAAAUGUGACGAGUGCGGAUGAUCAGCAGGAAAGACUAGAUGAAAAUUGGAUUGUAGGGUUUGUCGAUGGAGAAGGUUGUUUUCAUGUAGCUAUAAACAAGCUACAGAAAAUGACUUUAGGUUGGCAAGUACUUCCAGAGUUCAGAGUUGUUCAACAUCAACGUGAUGAAACACUUCUCUAUAGAUUCAAAUCUUUUUUUGAAUUUGGAGACGUUUGUAUAAAUCAUGGAGAUAGAAAAGAAUUCAGAGUAAGGGGAUUAGAAAACUUGAAUAAAUUAGUAAAGUUCUUCAAAAAAUAUCCUCUGCAAACUUCUAAACAAAAGAAUUUUGAGAUCUUUUCUGAAGUCAUUUCUUUGAUGAAUGAGAAACAACAUCUAACAAAAAUUGGAUUAAAGAAAAUUGCUAAUCUUGCUUCAAAGAUGAACAGACAAAUCAAAAGAAAUCUAGAAUCCUCAGAGACUAUACGCCAGAGUUCUUAAUAAGAACAAGAUAUAGUCCGACCCUCUAGGCGACUAGAGGAGAUGUACAGAAAUGUAUGUCCGCCAUUGAAAGAUGGUUAGUACCUUUAUGAGGGAAAGUAACAGAUGUGAGCGAAAUGCCUUGUCGUUUGAAUGACGACGUGCAUGAACGGCGUAACGAGAUUGCCACUGUCCCUAGUUGGAUGCCCCCGAAACACACCAUUCUGGUGCAAAGGCCAGAGACCUCCAGUGGGAAGCGAAGACCCCGUAGAACUUUACUGCAGCUUGUUGUUGCGGUGUGAACUCUGAUGUGUAGCAUAGGUAGUAGUUGUAGAGGCUCUGAUCCAAGUUAGAGUGGAGACAAAAAAUGAAAUACUACCCUUUAGAGUUUACAUUGCUUACCUGUAAUACAGGGACACCAGCAGGUGGGUAGUUUGGCUGGGGCGGCACCCUGCUGAAAUGAUAUCAGCAGGGCCCAAUGGUCAGCUCAGGAAGCUUGGAAAUCUUCUGUAGAGUGCAAGGGCAAAAGCUGGCCUGACUGUAUUCUGACAUAUAAGGAAUGCAGCACAGAAAUGUUGGCCUAGCGAACCCUCGUGUCCUUCUUAAUGAGGGCCGGGUAUGACAGAAAAGCUAUCUCGGGGAUAAUUGAGUCGUAGCACCUAAGAGCUCAAAUCGACGGUGCUGCUUGCUGCUUCGAUGUCGGCUCUUCCUAUCCCUGGCGUGCAGCAGCGCCCAAGGGUACGGGAGUUCACCGGUUAAAAGGGAUCGUGAGCUGGGUUAAGAACGUUGUGAGACAGUUUGUAUGAUAUCUACUGGAGGUGUCGGUGUCUGAAGGAAAGGAUGCUUUAGUACGAGAGGAACGAGCGUUCGGUGCCUCUGGUUUAUCGGUUAUCUGAUAAGGUAGGCCGAGCAGCUACGCACCACGUGGAUAAGUCCUGAAUGCAUCUAAGGACGAAACCACUCUUGAAAAAAGACACUAGGUGCUCUUCUAGAAGAGAAGUUUGAUAGGAUCAGGGUGUAAGCAUCAAGGUAACGAGAUGUUCAGCCUGUGAUUACUAAUCGCACCAAAACCCAAAAAUU
rnacentral:rRNA from 1 species